GAUGAACGCUGGCGGCGUGCCUAAUACAUGCAAGUCGAGCGAAUGGAUUAAGAGCUUGCUCUAUGAAGUUAGCGGCGGACGGGUGAGUAACACGUGGGUAACCUGCCCAUAAGACUGGGAUAACUCCGGGAAACCGGGGCUAAUACCGGAUAACAUUUUGAACCGCAUGGUUCGAAAUUGAAAGGCGGCUUCGGCUGUCACUUAUGGAUGGACCCGCGUCGCAUUAGCUAGUUGGUGAGGUAACGGCUCACCAAGGCAACGAUGCGUAGCCGACGUGAGAGGGUGAGCGGCCACACUGGGACUGAGACACGGCCCAGACUCCUACGGGAGGCAGCAGUAGGGAAUCUUCCGCAAUGGACGAAAGUCUGGCGGAGCAACGCCGCGUGAGUGAUGAAGGCUUUCGGGUCGUAAAACUCUGUUGUUAGGGAAGAACAAGUGCUAGUUGAAUAAGCUGGCACCUUGACGGUACCUAGCCAGAAAGCCACGGCUAACUACGUGCCAGCCGCCGCGGUAA
rnacentral:rRNA from 1 species